AUUGAACGCUGGCGGCAUGCCUUACACAUGCAAGUCGAACGGUAACGCGGGGCAACCUGGCGACGAGUGGCGAACGGGUGAGUAAUGUAUCGGAACGUGCCCAGCUGUGGGGGAUAACUGCUCGAAAGAGCAGCUAAUACCGCAUACGACCCGAGGGUGAAAGCGGGGGAUCGCAAGACCUCGCGCAAUUGGAGCGGCCGAUAUCAGAUUAGGGAGUUGGUGGGGUAAAGGCCCACCAAGCCAACGAUCUGUAGCUGGUCUGCGAGGACGACCAACCACACUGGGACUGAGACACGGCCCAGACUCGUACGGGAGGCAGCAGUGGGGAAUUUUGGACAAUGGACGCAAGUCUGAUCCAGCCAUGCCGCGUGCGGGAAGAGGGCCUUCGGGUUGUAAACCGCUUUUGUCAGGGAAGAAAAGGGCGACUCUAAUACAGUUGCCUCAUGACGGUACCUGAAGAAUAAGCACCGGCUAACUACGUGCCAGCAGCCGCAGUAAAAC
rnacentral:rRNA from 1 species